rnacentral:rRNA from 1 species
AUAAUGGGUCAGCGACUUAUAUUCUGUAGCAAGGUUAACCGAAUAGGGGAGCCGAAGGGAAACCGAGUCUUAACUGGGCGUUAAGUUGCAGGGUAUAGACCCGAAACCCGGUGAUCUAGCCAUGGGCAGGUUGAAGGUUGGGUAACACUAACUGGAGGACCGAACCGACUAAUGUUGAAAAAUUAGCGGAUGACUUGUGGCUGGGGGUGAAAGGCCAAUCAAACCGGGAGAUAGCUGGUUCUCCCCGAAAGCUAUUUAGGUAGCGCCUCGUGAAUUCAUCUCCGGGGGUAGAGCACUGUUUCGGCAAGGGGGUCAUCCCGACUUACCAACCCGAUGCAAACUGCGAAUACCGGAGAAUGUUAUCACGGGAGACACACGGCGGGUGCUAACGUCCGUCGUGAAGAGGGAAACAACCCAGACCGCCAGCUAAGGUCCCAAAGUCAUGGUUAAGUGGGAAACGAUGUGGGAAGGCCCAGACAGCCAGGAUGUUGGCUUAGAAGCAGCCAUCAUUUAAAGAAAGCGUAAUAGCUCACUGGUCGAGUCGGCCUGCGCGGAAGAUGUAACGGGGCUAAACCAUGCACCGAAGCUGCGGCAGCGACGCUUAUGCGUUGUUGGGUAGGGGAGCGUUCUGUAAGCCUGCGAAGGUGUGCUGUGAGGCAUGCUGGAGGUAUCAGAAGUGCGAAUGCUGACAUAAGUAACGAUAAAGCGGGUGAAAAGCCCGCUCGCCGGAAGACCAAGGGUUCCUGUCCAACGUUAAUCGGGGCAGGGUGAGUCGACCCCUAAGGCGAGGCCGAAAGGCGUAGUCGAUGGGAAACAGGUUAAUAUUCCUGUACUUGGUGUUACUGCGAAGGGGGGACGGAGAAGGCUAUGUUGGCCGGGCGACGGUUGUCCCGGUUUAAGCGUGUAGGCUGGUUUUCCAGGCAAAUCCGGAAAAUCAAGGCUGAGGCGUGAUGACGAGGCACUACGGUGCUGAAGCAACAAAUGCCCUGCUUCCAGGAAAAGCCUCUAAGCAUCAGGUAACAUCAAAUCGUACCCCAAACCGACACAGGUGGUCAGGUAGAGAAUACCAAGGCGCUUGAGAGAACUCGGGUGAAGGAACUAGGCAAAAUGGUGCCGUAACUUCGGGAGAAGGCACGCUGAUAUGUAGGUGAAGUCCCUCGCGGAUGGAGCUGAAAUCAGUCGAAGAUACCAGCUGGCUGCAACUGUUUAUUAAAAACACAGCACUGUGCAAACACGAAAGUGGACGUAUACGGUGUGACGCCUGCCCGGUGCCGGAAGGUUAAUUGAUGGGGUUAGCGCAAGCGAAGCUCUUGAUCGAAGCCCCGGUAAACGGCGGCCGUAACUAUAACGGUCCUAAGGUAGCGAAAUUCCUUGUCGGGUAAGUUCCGACCUGCACGAAUGGCGUAAUGAUGGCCAGGCUGUCUCCACCCGAGACUCAGUGAAAUUGAACUCGCUGUGAAGAUGCAGUGUACCCGCGGCAAGACGGAAAGACCCCGUGAACCUUUACUAUAGCUUGACACUGAACAUUGAGCCUUGAUGUGUAGGAUAGGUGGGAGGCUUUGAAGUGUGGACGCCAGUCUGCAUGGAGCCGACCUUGAAAUACCACCCUUUAAUGUUUGAUGUUCUAACGUUGACCCGUAAUCCGGGUUGCGGACAGUGUCUGGUGGGUAGUUUGACUGGGGCGGUCUCCUCCUAAAGAGUAACGGAGGAGCACGAAGGUUGGCUAAUCCUGGUCGGACAUCAGGAGGUUAGUGCAAUGGCAUAAGCCAGCUUGACUGCGAGCGUGACGGCGCGAGCAGGUGCGAAAGCAGGUCAUAGUGAUCCGGUGGUUCUGAAUGGAAGGGCCAUCGCUCAACGGAUAAAAGGUACUCCGGGGAUAACAGGCUGAUACCGCCCAAGAGUUCAUAUCGACGGCGGUGUUUGGCACCUCGAUGUCGGCUCAUCACAUCCUGGGGCUGAAGUAGGUCCCAAGGGUAUGGCUGUUCGCCAUUUAAAGUGGUACGCGAGCUGGGUUUAGAACGUCGUGAGACAGUUCGGUCCCUAUCUGCCGUGGGCGCUGGAGAACUGAGGGGGGCUGCUCCUAGUACGAGAGGACCGGAGUGGACGCAUCACUGGUGUUCGGGUUGUCAUGCCAAUGGCACUGCCCGGUAGCUAAAUGCGGAAGAGAUAAGUGCUGAAAGCAUCUAAGCACGAAACUUGCCCCGAGAUGAGUUCUCCCUGACUCCUUGAGAGUCCUGAAGGAACGUUGAAGACGACGACGUUGAUAGGCCGGGUGUGUAAGCGCAGCGAUGCGU